AUUGAGAGGAAAUAAAAGGAGAGAGGAGGCUCUAGAGCAGUGGUUCUCAACCUUCCUUAUGCCACGACCCUUUACUACAGCUCCCCAUGUGGUGGUGACCCCAACCAUAACAUUAUCUUCGUUGCUACUUCAUAGCUGUAAUUUUGCUCCUGUUAUGAAUCUUAAUGUAAAGAUCUGUGUUUUCCCAUGGUCUUAG